rnacentral:rRNA from 1 species
GAUGAACGCUGGCGGCGUGCCUAAUACAUGCAAGUCGAGCGAACAGAUGAGGAGCUUGCUCCUCUGACGUUAGCGGCGGACGGGUGAGUAACACGUGGAUAACCUACCUAUAAGACUGGGAUAACUUCGGGAAACCGGAGCUAAUACCGGAUAAUAUAUUGAACCGCAUGGUUCAAUAGUGAAAGACGGUUUUGCUGUCACUUAUAGAUGGAUCCGCGCCGCAUUAGCUAGUUGGUAAGGUAACGGCUUACCAAGGCAACGAUGCGUAGCCGACCUGAGAGGGUGAUCGGCCCCACUGGAACUGAGACACGGUCCAGACUCCUACGGGAGGCAGCAGUAGGGAAUCUUCCGCAAUGGGCGAAAGCCUGACGGAGCAACGCCGCGUGAGUGAUGAAGGUCUUCGGAUCGUAAACCUCUGUUAUUAGGGAAGAACAAAUGUGUAAGUAACUAUGCACGUCUUGACGGUACCUAAUCAGAAAGCCACGGCUAACUACGUG